GCCAGGAGCCCCACAGGCCCUGGGGGAUGCACCCUCCACGUCCGUCAGCCUGACGACAGGUGUGGUCUGCCUGCAGCCUUUCUGCCACCUGUACUGGGGCUGCACCCGGACCGGCUGCUACGGCUGCCUGGCCCCGUUCUGUGAGCUCAACCUGGGUGACAAGUGUCUGGACGGCGUGCUGAACAACAACAGCUACGAGUCAGACAUCCUGAAGAAUUACCUGGCAACCAGAGGUUUGACAUGGAAAAACAUGUUGACCGAGAGCCUCGUGGCUCUCCAGCGGGGAGUGUUUCUGCUGUCUGAUUACAGAGUCACGGGAGACACCGUUCUGUGUUACUGCUGUGGCCUGCGCAGCUUCCGUGAGCUGACCUAUCAGUAUCGGCAGAACAUUCCUGCUUCCGAGUUGCCAGUGGCCGUAACAUCCCGUCCUGACUGCUACUGGGGCCGUAACUGCCGCACUCAGGUGAAAGCUCACCACGCCAUGAAAUUCAAUCAUAUCUGUGAACAGACAAGGUUCAAAAGCUAAGCAUCCAGAGGCCCUGAGCAGCUUUCAGCACUGGAGGCGAAGAGAGCGUGUUUUUAAAAUACAGAGACAAACACGUCAAGGUGUUUUCACAGCCCCCUGAGGGAAGGGACGCAGGGUCUCCGACAGGUGCUCUGGGAUGACUCUUCUGUGGAGCUUUACCC
rnacentral:sRNA from 1 species